rnacentral:rRNA from 1 species
UACGGAGGAUGCGAGCGUUAUCCGGAUUUAUUGGGUUUAAAGGGUGCGUAGGCGGCCAUUUAAGUCAGCGGUGAAAUUUUGCAGCUUAACUGUAACAGUGCCGUUGAUACUGUUUGGCUAGGAUUUGGUUGUAGUGUGCGGAAUGUGUGGUGUAGCGGUGAAAUGCAUAGAUAUCACGAGGAACUCCGAUUGCGCAGGCAGCUUACUAAACCAUAACUGACGCUCAGGUACGAAGGCGUGGGGAGUCAAACAGGAUUAGAUA